AUGCUAUGAGCUUGUUUGGGCAGCAUGUAUCCUAAAAUUGGAAUGACACAUGGAAGGCAGCACGGCCCCCAAGAGUGACAUGCAAAUUGGUGAAACAUUUCACAUUUUU
ensembl:snRNA U6 U6 spliceosomal RNA